rnacentral:rRNA from 1 species
CAGUGGGGAAUAUUGGACAAUGGGGGCAACCCUGAUCCAGCCAUGCCGCGUGUGUGAAGAAGGCCUUCGGGUUGUAAAGCACUUUAAGCGGGGAGGAAGGCCUGACGGUUAAUACCCGUUGGGAUUGACGUUACCCGCAGAAUAAGCACCGGCAAACUUCGUGCCAGCAGCCGCGGUAAUACGAAGGGUGCGAGCGUUAAUCGGAAUUACUGGGCGUAAAGCGCGCGUAGGUGGUUUGGUAAGCGAUCUGUGAAAGCCCCGGGCUUAACCUGGGAAUUGCAGGUCGAACUGCCAGGCUAGAGUAUGGUAGAGGGGUGUGGAAUUUCCUGUGUAGCGGUGAAAUGCGUAGAUAUAGGAAGGAACAUCAGUGGCGAAGGCGGCUAUCUGGACCGACAUUGACGCUGAGGCGCGAAAGCGUGGGGAGCAAACAGGAUUAGA